rnacentral:rRNA from 1 species
UACGUAGGGUGCGAGCGUUGUUCGGAUUCAUUGGGCGUAAAGGGUGCGUAGGCGGCGCGGUAAGUCGGGUGUGAAAUCUCGGAGCUUAACUCCGAAACUGCAUUCGAUACUGCCGUGCUUGAGGACUGGAGAGGAGACUGGAAUUUACGGUGUAGCGGUGAAAUGCGUAGAUAUCGUAAGGAAGACCAGUGGCGAAGGCGGGUCUCUGGACAGUUCCUGACGCUGAGGCACGAAGGUCAGGGGAGCAAACGGGG